UUCCGGUUGAUCCCGCCGGAGGUCACUGCUAUCGGGGUUCGAUUAAGCCAUGCGAGUCGAGAGGGUUCGGCCCUCGGCGUACUGCUCAGUAACACGUGGAUAACCUGCCCUAGGGAAGGGGAUAACCCCGGGAAACUGGGGAUAAUACCCUAUAGAUUACAGAUGCUGGAAUGCCCUGUAAUCCAAAGUUCCGACGCCCUAGGAUGGAUCUGCGGCCGAUUAGGUUGUUGUUGGGGUAAUGGCCCAACAAGCCCGUAAUCGGUACGGGUUGUGGGAGCAAGAGCCCGGAGUUGGAUUCUGAGACACGAAUCCAGGCCCUACGGGGCGCAGCAGGCGCGAAAACUUUACAAUGCGGGCAACCGUGAUAAGGGAACCUCGAGUGCCUGUAAAUGCAGGCUGUUCAGGUGCCUAAAACACACCUGAAGAAAGGGCCGGGCAAGACCGGUGCCAGCCGCCGCGGUAAUACCGGCGGCUCGAGUGGUGGCCGCUUUUAUUGGGCUUAAAGCGUUCGUAGCUGGGUUGUUAAGUCUCUUGGGAAAUCUGGCGGCUUAACCGUCAGGCGUCUAAGGGAUACUGGCAAUCUUGGAACCGGGAGAGGUGAGGGGUACUUCGGGGGUAGGAGUGAAAUCCUGUAAUCCUCGAGGGACCACCUGUGGCGAAGGCGCCUCACCAGAACGGCUUCGACAGUGAGGGACGAAAGCUGGGGGAGCAAACCGGAUUAGAUACCCGGGUAGUCCCAGCCGUAAACUAUGCGCGUUAGGUGUAUCGGUGACCACGAGUUACCGAGGUGCCGAAGGGAAACCGUGAAACGUGCCGCCUGGGAAGUACGGUCGCAAGGCUGAAACUUAAAGGAAUUGGCGGGGGAGCACCACAACAGGUGGAGCCUGCGGUUUAAUUGGACUCAACGCCGGGAAGCUCACCGGAUAAGACAGCAGAAUGAUUGCCGGGCUGAAGACUCUGCAUGACUAGCUGAGAGGAGGUGCAUGGCC
rnacentral:rRNA from 1 species